rnacentral:rRNA from 1 species
UACACUCCUACGGGAGGCAGCAGUGGGGAAUAUUGGACAAUGGGCGCAAGCCUGAUCCAGCCAUGCCGCGUGAGUGAUGAAGGCCCUAGGGUUGUAAAGCUCUUUCACCGGUGAAGAUAAUGACGGUAACCGGAGAAGAAGCCCCGGCUAACUUCGUGCCAGCAGCCGCGGUAAUACGAAGGGGGCUAGCGUUGUUCGGAUUUACUGGGCGUAAAGCGCACGUAGGCGGACUAUUAAGUCAGGGGUGAAAUCCCGGGGCUCAACCCCGGAACUGCCUUUGAUACUGGUAGUCUUGAGUUCGAGAGAGGUGAGUGGAAUUCCGAGUGUAGAGGUGAAAUUCGUAGAUAUUCGGAGGAACACCAGUGGCGAAGGCGGCUCACUGGCUCGAUACUGACGCUGAGGUGCGAAAGCGUGGGGAGCAAACAGGAUUAGAAACCCGUGUAGUCC